rnacentral:rRNA from 1 species
AUGAAUCAUUUGUGACUGAGCGGCGGACGGGUGAGUAACGCGUGAGUAACCUGCCUGCGAGAGGGGGAUAACAACGGGAAACUGUUGCUAAUACCGCAUAACACAUCGAUUCCGCAUGGAGAUGAUGCCAAAGGGAAACCGCUUGCAGAUGGACUCGCGUCUGAUUAGGUAGUUGGUGAGGUAACGGCUCACCAAGCCGACGAUCAGUAGCCGGACUGAGAGGUUGAACGGCCACAUUGGAACUGAGAUACGGUCCAGACUCC